UAAUUAAGCGGAGGAAAAGAAACUAACUAGGAUUGGUCCAGUAACGGCGAGUGAAGCGCCAAUAGCCCAGCCUGUGAAUUGACGCUUGCGUCGAAUUGUGGUCUGCAGGUCUUUCCAUUAUGCUGGCGGACUAAGUUCCCUGGAAUGGGACAGCAGAGAGGGUGAGACUCCCGUACGUCUGCCUGCUUGAGGAAUGACUCUAGAGUCGAGUUGUUUGGGAUUGCAGCUCUAAUCGGGUGGUAAAUUCCAUCCAAGGCUAAAUACUGGCGGGAGACCGAUAGCGUACAAGUACCGUGAGGGAAAGAUGCAAAGCCGCGCGAGAGCGCUGUCAAAGAGUACCUGAAAUUGCUGAAACGGAAGCGAAGGAAACCAGUGCUAGCCAACCCGCACUUCCCCGUCCGCUUGCGGUUGGGGCGCUGCGGCUGGCGUUGUCCUGGGUUGCGGUGGGCUGAGGAUGAUAAUGGCUCUGCCUGCUGCUUCUUGGGACGAAAUGGUUUUCUUUUUCCCG
rnacentral:rRNA from 1 species